rfam:Pristionchus pacificus strain PS312 contig1781, whole genome shotgun sequence.
UCUUCAUUUCUCUCACUCUCUCAGCGCUCAGAGAGGCGAGAGAGUGUAUGAAAUGAAGAGA